GACGAACGCUGGCGGCGUGCUUAACACAUGCAAGUCGAACGGAAAGGCCCUGCUUUUGUGGGGUGCUCGAGUGGCGAACGGGUGAGUAACACGUGAGUAACCUGCCCUUGACUUUGGGAUAACUUCAGGAAACUGGGGCUAAUACCGGAUAGGAGCUCCUGCUGCAUGGUGGGGGUUGGAAAGUUUCGGCGGUUGGGGAUGGACUCGCGGCUUAUCAGCUUGUUGGUGGGGUAGUGGCUUACCAAGGCUUUGACGGGUAGCCGGCCUGAGAGGGUGACCGGCCACAUUGGGACUGAGAUACGGCCCAGACUCCUACGGGAGGCAGCAGUGGGGAAUAUUGCACAAUGGGCGGAAGCCUGAUGCAGCAACGCCGCGUGCGGGAUGACGGCCUUCGGGUUGUAAGCCGCUUUCGCCUGUGACGAAGCGUGAGUGACGGUAAUGGGUAAAGAAGCACCGGCUAACUACGUGUCAGCAGCCGCGGUGAUACGUAGGGUGCGAGCGUUGUCCGGAUUUAUUGGGCGUAAAGGGCUCGUAGGUGGUUGAUCGCGUCGGAAGUGUAAUCUUGGGGCUUAACCCUGAGCGUGCUUUCGAUACGGGUUGACUUGAGGAAGGUAGGGGAGAAUGGAAUUCCUGGUGGAGCGGUGGAAUGCGCAGAUAUCAGGAGGAACACCAGUGGCGAAGGCGGUUCUCUGGGCCUUUCCUGACGCUGAGGAGCGAAAGCGUGGGGAGCGAACAGGCUUAGAUACCCUGGUAGUCCACGCUGUAAACGGUGGGUACUAGGUGUGGGGUCCAUUCCACGGGUUCCGUGCCGUAGCUAACGCUUUAAGUACCCCGCCUGGGGAGUACGGCCGCAAGGCUAAAACUCAAAGGAAUUGACGGGGCCCCGCACAAGCGGCGGAGCAUGCGGAUUAAUUCGAUGCAACGCGUAGAACCUUACCUGGGUUUGACAUGGAUCGGGAGCGCUCAGAGAUGGGUGUGCCUCUUUUGGGGUCGGUUCACAGGUGGUGCAUGGCUGUCGUCAGCUCGUGUCGUGAGAUGUUGGGUUAAGUCCCGCAACGAGCGCAACCCUUGUUCACUGUUGCCAGCACGUUAUGGUGGGGACUCAGUGGAGACCGCCGGGGUCAACUCGGAGGAAGGUGGGGAUGACGUCAAGUCAUCAUGCCCCUUAUGUCCAGGGCUUCACGCAUGCUACAAUGGCUGGUACAGAGAGUGGCGAGCCUGUGAGGGUGAGCGAAUCUCGGAAAGCCGGUCUCAGUUCGGAUUGGGGUCUGCAACUCGACCUCAUGAAGUCGGAGUCGCUAGUAAUCGCAGAUCAGCAACGCUGCGGUGAAUACGUUCCCGGG
rnacentral:rRNA from 1 species